CUGUAGGUGGUUGUGUGACUGACUGUAGAUGAUUGUGUGACUGACUGUAGGUGGUUGUGUGACUGUAGGUGGUUGUGUGACUGACUGUGAGAGGUGGUUGUGUGACUGUAGAUGGUUGUGUGACUGUAGGUGGUUGUGUGACUGUAGGUGGUUGUGUGACUGUAGAUGGUGUGUGACUGUAGGUGGUUGUGUGACUGUAGGUGGUUGUGUGACUGUAGGUGUUUGUGUGACUGUAGGUGGUUGUGUGACUGUAGGUGGUUGUGUGACUGUAGGUGGUUGUGAAACUGUAGGUGGUUGUGUGACUGACUGUAGGUGGUUGUGUGACUGUAGAUGGGUGUGUGACUGUAGGUGGUUGUGAGACUGUAG
ensembl:lncRNA